ACAAAAAAUACACAAGAAUACGUUGUUUGAUGGAUCAUAGUACGGGAAAGCCGGGUUUUUUAAAGAAUGUGUUGGUUCGUUUGUUUCUAUUUUGUGUUGUGAUUCUUGGUUGUCGGUUUGCUUACGUGGUGACUCUCAAAGGCGAAACCUGUGACCUCGGCGAUUUUUGUUUCUUCUCCCUGCCGGAAAAUCUGAAUGUUAUUACCUCUGGCGUUGGGCAGCUGACUGAGUCUGUAUCAGCGGUCAUGACGACAAGCGAAAAAUCUGCUCCGGCGAAACCGAAACUUCCCGAUCUGUGGACCAGCCCAGAUUUCCAAAAAUCGGCCCGUUUCUAUUCUUCUGUGUUUCAGGAUCUUGUUGCUGAGGGGUUUUUGAUCCCGAAUUCGAAGACCCUUUGCGUUGAAACUCCAGUAGGUGCUGAUGUUUUCGCUUUAAAGGAAAUUGGGAUCGCCGAUUCAGUUGGGAUAUACAAGAAAGGCUCAAAGCCUUUGGUUAUUACAGGUAAAGCUGUUAAACAGCCUUUUGAAGAUAAUACAUUUGAUUUCAUAUUUACCGGUGCCGGAAUGAUAGAUAAGUCGACGAAGCCGGGGGAUUUCGCGGCGGAGAUUUGUCGGACUUUGAAACCCGAAGGGGUUUUGGUCGUCCAUACAACAGGUUCUAAAGAUACGUACAGUUUCAAUUCAUUCCUUCAUUUGUUUAACUGUUGUACAUUGAUUAAGUCUAGGAAUAUUGAUGGUUCUGAUUCAAAUUCUAUUCGUGAGAUUGUUAUGAAAAAGGUUGUUUUUGGGGAUGUAAAUGUUGAAGAAAAAGUGAGUAAUGAUUCGAAGAACAAAUGUAGUGUUCCAGAAUAUAACUAUUCGUGAGAUUGUUAUGAAAAAGGUUGUUUUUGGGGAAGUAAAUGUUGAAGAAAAAGUGAGUAAUGAUUCGAAGAACAAAUGUAAUGUUCCUGAUUAUAAACUGAAGCUGAUUAAAAAAGCUGAGCCUUUGAUUAAAGAGGAACCUAAGAAACCAUGGAUUACUCUAAAGAAGAAUGC
rnacentral:lncRNA from 1 species